AUUGCAGUGGCUGACAUAUUCCUCACCCUAGACAUGAAGCCUAGGCACCAGGAUCAAGAGCCAAUCUUGCCUCCAAGGAAAGGACUUUGAGAAGGCUUUGCAAAACUUAGAGUGUCAACUAUUUUUUUUCUUAGUCUAUAUAUCACUUCAGGUUGUUCCAGAACUUUUAAUGAGCAUAUGCAAAAUAAUAGAUGUAUUUCUGAAGUGUAGACUGUUAGAUAUUUCAAAUCUACUUAAGUCAUUUUUCCUGUAGUUUGUAUUUUUCAAACGUGGCCUUUGGGCAGUAGAGAAUCUUUCAUUUGGAAUAGCAUGGCACGUGCCUUUUGGUCUACAUAGCUUGUGUAACUUUGGAAUUCUGUCUGAAAAGAAUGCCUCUCUCCUAUGGAUGGAAGACACCUAGUUAGGUACCACUUGUCUAUAUACAACCCAAGGAAAUGGAUUAAUGAACUAACAAGAUAGAACUAAACCUCUGCUAUCAUCUUUCCAGACAAUCCUAUUGCUGCCUAAUAGACAGCAGUAUUGACAGAGGUCACCAAUGUGAGCAGCACAGUGGAAGCUAAAGUAGACUGUGAAGAGGAUAAUGUUAAUCAAACAGAUGCUGCAUUGCCCAAGGGCAGAGGCAUGCAUGUCACCCUGGAGCCUCAUAGAUCUGGCAUUCUCUUGUUCUUCAUUCUUCUGCUCUCUCUGCUGCAGCUGUGGUUCAUAUUGAACAAGAAAUUAUGGCUUGUUCACAAACUAUCUCAGUGGAGACACUCUUUACUCUGAGCAGCGACACUGAUUUUUCAGGGGAGUACAGAUUUACCUAAACAAGCUCAGCUAGCCUGUUAACCCCACCUGGAUGAAAACACCAAUACCCACUGGCCAACCAAUCAAAUCUCCGUCUAUCAUAUCAACAGCACUUGGUUUACAAUAUCUCCUGGGACUAGAAUAGGUCAUGAGGGUGAGCUGAUCUCAUACCCCUUUAGGUUAGCAGGGACAUUCACAGACUGUUCAGUAAGGAUAUAACAUGAGGCAGGUUGAUGCUAUUAAUUUUAUUCCUUCAAUGUUGUCUCCAUAAGACUUAGUUCUGGAAGUAUAAUUAUACUCAAAUUAUAUAUAGCAAUGAUUUUUAAAAUAUUUAUAAUGUCCUACAUUUUUACUCUGAGCAAAGUUUUGCACUGAACAUAUUAUAUAAAGGAUUCCACUUGGUAUAUUCUUUGCAAUGUCUCUAUGAGGUGUUCACUUAGUAACCUUUCUGGGAUGAAUGGGCAAAGUGAUGAAUUAAUACAAUGUAAUAAUG